GACAGAGGGUGCGAACGUUGCUCGGAAUUACUGGGCGUAAAGCGCGUGCAGGCGGUUUCGCGAGUCCGACGUGAAAGCCCGGGGCCCAACCCCGGAAGUGCGUUGGAUACUACGAAGCUUGAGUGCUGGAGAGGAGAGCGGAAUUCCCGGUGUAGAGGUGAAAUUCGUAGAUAUCGGGAGGAACACCAGUGGCGAAGGCGGCUCUCUGGACAGACACUGACGCUGAGACGCGAAAGCAUGGGGAUCAAACAGG
rnacentral:rRNA from 1 species